CAAUUUCAAUCACUAUUAAAUGACUGGCGGAAUGUAGCUUCGAUUUCGGUUGAAGUGUUAUAGCCUCUGGUAGAUGUGGUGAUUGGGACUGAGGAUUGCAACGAAUAUCCUUUGGGCUAUCCGUCUGGCCUCUGAAAGUUGCUUGGGUGCUGAAAGCUUGCUUAUGGUUAUCUAAGUUAACGGUCAAUAGGUUAGAACGUGAUUACAUUCGUUAAGGAUGUUGACGUAA
rnacentral:rRNA from 1 species